UGGGGAAUAUUGCACAAUGGGCGCAAGCCUGAUGCAGCCAUGCCGCGUGUAUGAAGAAGGCCUUCGGGUUGUAAAGUACUUUCAGCGAGGAGGAAGGCGUUGUGGUUAAUAACCGCAACGAUUGACGUUACUCGCAGAAGAAGCACCGGCUAACUCCGUGCCAGCAGCCGCGGUAAUACGGAGGGGGCAAGCGGUAAUCGGAAUUACUGGGCGUAAAGCGCACGCAGGCGGUCUGUCAAGUCGGAUGUGAAAUCCCCGGGCUCAACCUGGGAACUGCAUCCGAAACUGGCAGGCUAGAGUCUUGUAGAGGGGGGUAGAAUUCCAGGUGUAGCGGUGAAAUGCGUAGAGAUCUGGAGGAAUACCGGUGGCGAAGGCGGCCCCCUGGACAAAGACUGACGCUCAGGUGCGAAAGCGUGGGGAGCAAACA
rnacentral:rRNA from 1 species